rnacentral:rRNA from 1 species
CUGGCUCAGGACGAACGCUGGCGGCGUGCCUAACACAUGCAAGUCGAGCGAAGAAUAUAUAAAGAAAUCUUCGGAUGGAAAUAUAUAUUUCUUAGCGGCGGACGGGUGAGUAACGCGUGAGGAACCUGCCUUGUACUAGGGGAUAGCCUCGGGAAACCGGGAUUAAUACCCUAUGAUACUUGAGGAUCGCAUGAUUUUCAAGUCAAAGCGAUUAAGCGGUAUAAGAUGGACUCGCGUCCCAUUA